rnacentral:lncRNA from 1 species
UUCUUCCUUUUUUGCCCCUAAUUCAUAAAUGGUUUGAGCCAUAACCCCCUUAAGUCAAUCCUAACCAUCCCUUAGUAGUAUGGAAUCUUAUGGUAUAAUUUCCCCUUUUACAAAAGUUAUUGUCUUGAAACUACAAAAGUGCUUGUUUUAGCCCCUUUUUGGCCCUUUAUUCCUAGACUGUUUGCCCCAUAACCCUUAAAAUAAAUCCCAACCUUCUACUUAUGGUAUUAAACAUUGUGGUACAAUUUUAGAGCAAUUGAAAUACUUAUACACAACUUAUUGUCCUGAAACUACAUAAAUGUUUAUUUUGGGCCCCUUUGGGCCCUUAAUUCUUAAACCUUA